rnacentral:rRNA from 1 species
GAUGAACGCUGGCGGCGUGCCUAAUACAUGCAAGUCGAGCGAACAGACGAGGAGCUUGCUCCUCUGACGUUAGCGGCGGACGGGUGAGUAACACGUGGAUAACCUACCUAUAAGACUGGGAUAACUUCGGGAAACCGGAGCUAAUACCGGAUAACAUGUUGAACCGCAUGGUUCAACAGUGAAAGACGGUCUUGCUGUCACUUAUAGAUGGAUCCGCGCCGCAUUAGCUAGUUGGUAAGGUAACGGCUUACCAAGGCAACGAUGCGUAGCCGACCUGAGAGGGUGAUCGGCCACACUGGAACUGAGACACGGUCCAGAGUCCUACGGGAGGCAGCAGUAGGGAAUCUUCCGCAAUGGGCGAAAGCCUGACGGAGCAACGCCGCGUGAGUGAAGAAGGUCUUCGGAUCGUAAAACUCUGCUAUUAGGGAAGAACAAAUGUGUAAGUAACUAUGCACGUCUUGACGGUACCUAAUCAGAAAGCCACGGCUAACUACGUG